rnacentral:rRNA from 1 species
AGGUUAAAACCCAAAUGAAUUGACGGGGCCCGCACAAGCGGUGGAGCAUGUGGUUUAAUUCGAUGCAACGCGAAGAACCUUACCUGGUCUUGACAUCCAUAGAAUUCUGCAGAGAUGUGGGAGUGCCUUCGGGAACUAUGAGACAGGUGCUGCAUGGCUGUCGUCAGCUCGUGUUGUGAAAUGUUGGGUUAAGUCCCGCAACGAGCGCAACCCUUAUUCUUUGUUGCCAGCGAUUUGGUCGGGAACUCAAAGGAGACUGCCGUUGAUAAAGCGGAGGAAGGUGGGGACGACGUCAAGUCAUCAUGGCCCUUACGACCAGGGCUACACACGUGCUACAAUGGCGUAUACAAAGGGAAGCGAAGGUGCGAGCUGGAGCGGAUCUCAUAAAGUACGUCUAAGUUCGGAUUGGAGUCUGCAACUCGACUCCAUGAAGUCGGAAUCGCUAGUAAUCGUAGAUCAGAAUGCUACGGUGAAUACGUUCCCGGGCCUUGUACACACCGCCCGUCACACCAUGGGAGUGGGUUGCACCAGAAGUAGAUAGCUUAACCGCGAGGGGGGCGUUUACCACGGUGUGAUUCAUGACUGGGGUGAAGUCGUAACAAGGUAACCA